rnacentral:rRNA from 1 species
AUUGAACGCUGGCGGCAUGCUUUACACAUGCAAGUCGAACGGUAACAGGCCGCAAGGUGCUGACGAGUGGCGAACGGGUGAGUAAUGCAUCGGAACGUGCCCAGUCGUGGGGGAUAACUAUCCGAAAGGAUAGCUAAUACCGCAUACGAUCUGCGGAUGAAAGCGGGGGACCUUCGGGCCUCGCGCGAUUGGAGCGGCCGAAGUCAGAUUAGGUAGUUGGUGGGGUAAAGGCUCACCAAGCCAACGAUCUGUAGCUGGUCUGAGAGGACGACCAGCCACACUGGGACUGAGACACGGCCCAGACUCCUACGGGAGGCAGCAGUGGGGAAUUUUGGACAAUGGGCGCAAGCCUGAUCCAGCAAUGCCGCGUGCAGGAAGAAGGCCUUCGGGUUGUAAACUGCUUUUGUACGGAACGAAACGGUCCUGGUUAAUACCCGGGGCUAAUGACGGUACCGUAAGAAUAAGCACCGGCUAACUACGUGCCAGCCGCCGCCGUAAAAC